GUGGUGCUAAGGAAUCGAACCCAGGGCUUCUUGCAUGGUAGGCAAGCACUCUACCGCUAAGCCCAGCCCCAAGCCCCACAAUCCCAGCCCCUCUUCUAUUUCUUUAAAUAGAAAAUGGAUUGCAUAAAGAAUAUAAGUAGCUCAAAGAAUCUUUCUAGAUUUUUUUUAGAGUUUUCCUGAAAAAAAACACAAAAAAAAACCAAUGUAGGCUGACUUUCCAAGCAUAGGCUGCCAGAAGGACACUUUUGCAACACUCAACAAUGAAGCUGCUGGCUGGAUGAGGAAGUGCUAAACAACUGCCAGCUCCAGAAACACACCACCUCUGCUGUACUCUGCCAGCAAAAAUGGACAACUCAUUUUCUGCCUACCUCCCCAUCUAAGUGCUGAGCAAAAGUCUCAGCUUCCCUGAGGAAUCAAGAUAAACUUACAGAGACCCAGAGUUAAAAGAUGAACUUCAUUGUGUUUAUUGAAGAUUUUUAUCUCCUGAAGAACCUAAUAGAGAAGGCCUCCUUUAUCCUCAACUGAAUAUUUUUUUCUUUCAACUCAUCAGUUCUUGUUGAAAUUGCAGACUGUGGUAUAUUUAAGUAAAAUGCAAAGUUUGUUUUCUUUGUUCUUUAUAGGUGAUAUUAUAAGAAAACCAUCAUAACUAUCUCUCUUAAAAGUGUGAUGUUUAAGGGAAGUUACAUCUUCCCUUUGUUUUUUAUUAAAGUAAAAUAUCAUUAGCAGGAUUCAAAUCUUUCUCUACCCUACUUUUAAGCUUGUUUCCUAAAUGAGUAUGAAUCCAAAACCAUGCCUUAGAAGAUCUAAGAACUGAGCCAGAACAAGCAACAGCAACAAGAAAUGAAAACCUCAGACUAUAUUUUUGCAAAAUCUGAACCUAGAAUUUCCAGCACUGCCAGCUGCUUAUCAAGACAGCAAAAUAAAACCAGUGACACUUUUGAUUUUAGAUAUUUAGAGUUUUUCAAAUAUUACCUAUUGCAUUGUGUUGAAAAAAUAACUACAUUUGAUGUUUACAGAUGAUUACAGAUUUCAUUGCAGUUUUUGAAUAUACAUUUUAAUCACUAUCCUGCAUAUGUUUGUUAUAUGGUAAUUCAAUCAUGAAAUACAAAGAAGCCAGAUUUUGAGAGGUUGAAUCGGGAGUCUUUAUUAGAAAGCUGCCAACUGGUAGCAGACACAUUUCCCCCUCAAAAACUUGCAGCUUUGAAUAUACUUAAUACUGUGAGGAAACUCAGCCAUGAGGGUAGCAAAGAAAGAUCAGAAAAACAAUCUCAAACCAGAUCAUCUCUAAUGGAGAGUUGAAGAGGGAUGCUGUGUGACCCGCGGAGAGUCUGGGGACACGAGGCAUGGCAUAAAAUGGCAGCUGAGGUGCUGAGGCCUAAAUAGGGUCAUGGUCAGGGGGCAGGAUGGAGAGUUCAGAGUCUCGAGUUCAUGAUAUAAGUCAUGGCUGGUUUAGUACCUAUUGUUCCAGUUCCCAUCCAGCCUCUAGGAAUUCAGGUGCAUCUAUCUCCUGGGAGUGGGGUUGGGAUUUCAUUUCUACAUUACAAAGUCCCUCAUCCCCCAACAUGCCAGGAUAGCACAGUUAGACCAGUAUCCACAUCUCAUGUUGACAAUAAUGAAUGCUCUCCAACAGCUGGUAUGUCAUCCAGUCUUUUGACGAUGUACUUUCUUCACCCACCCCACCCUUCUUGCUUAGUAAUUCUUCCUCUUGCCAUCAAAACUCUGGAACCUUUGGAACCAAGGUUUGUUUAUAAUUUAUAAUCUGGUAUAGAUAGUAGUUUUGACUUUUCCAAUUCUUAGUCGUGACUUCAAAAUUAUAACUGGGCUGAGUGAUUUAAAAAUAAUAGAGAAAAGAUUCUAUGUAGUCCUUUUGACAAGCUCCUAUGAGUUGUUGGUUAUUAGCAUGUUAUUUCUAUUUUAGUACUUUUUGAAUGUUCUGUUUCAAUGACAUCAGAGUAUAAGUGAUUAAAUAAAUCCCUAUCCUUACUUUAGAUUCUCUAUGUGUGGGAUAUGAAACACAUAUGUAGCCCUAGUCAUGCUGUACCAUGUUGUUCUAUCUACUUUUGUGGUCCACUCUGACUCUUUGUUACAGUGAUUUAGGUUUGCUUUAUUUUUAACUCUGUCAGAAGUUGCUAUUUCUACUUUUUAAAUUCUUCCUUAUUUAAGUGGUGAUAGCUAAUUUCUCUUUUUGAAAAACAUAUGCACCAUGUCCUUUAAUAUUUUAAACCUUUAGGUGGUAAUAUUUUUGUUAAGCACAACCAUUAAAACUUCUAACAAAUUUA